GGUGAAGUACACUUUCCUUUGUAGCUGAGCAGCCCCGUGGCAUGGGGAGGAUCUUCUUCACCAGGUUGAAGAGGCCUCAUGGACCAAGCGGAGAACAGCAACUUGGCUGUUACCUGGGAGAAGAGACUGACUCCCCACCUCCCUACAACCUCCUUUCAGAAGGUUAAAGGACACUCCACCCCAGAGGAUGCUGCCUUCUCUAGAGUAACUUGCAUCUCAUUAAAAUUGAACUCUCUUCUCCUUACAUUUAAUCACCCACAGCUCCGUCCCUGGGAUGUCUCUUGGGUGAACUUCAUCCCGGACCUGUGGUAAAGCUACUGGG
ensembl:lncRNA